rnacentral:rRNA from 1 species
UGAGGAACAUGACCUUCGGCGGGGGAUAGCCGGCCCAACGGCCGGGUAAUACCGCGUACGACCACAUGGGGACAUCCCUGAGUGGUGAGAGCAGCAAUGCGCCGAUGGAGUGCCUCGCGGCCUAUCAGCUAGUUGGUGAGGUAACGGCUCACCAAGGCGACGACGGGUAGCUGGUCUGAGAAGAUGGCCAGCCACAUUGGGACUGAGACACGGCCCAGAUCCCGUACGGGG